CUUUUCUUUCGUCUAAUGAGUGUGCUCCCUACCAUCGUAUACUCAGUCGUUCAUCCUAUAGCUGAGUUUGACAUCGCAAUUUAGGUAACUUGCACUCUGACCGGUGACGGGUAAGGUGCUUGUUGCAAUGUCUUCUUCUAGUUCUCAAUCGUUCGGGUCAAGUUUCAAUUGUGAUUGGCCUCGUCCACAGAUUGUGAACUAUAAUCAUGAUCUUGAGGCUGAGCUAGUGAUAUCUAGGACGGCUGCUAAUCCUGGUCGACGUUACUAUCGUUGUCCAAUAUGGAAGGAAGAUGAUUGCAGAUUCUUUCACUGGGUUGAUGCGGGUCUUUCCCCAAGCCAAGACACUUACUUUCAAAAAAUCAAGCUCGAACGAGAUAAGUUUGAAGAAUAACUCCGAUGCAAAGAAAUUAUGGACAGUGUUCUUGAAGAUAAAUUGUGUAUGAAAACUGAAGAAUGUGAAGAGCUAAAGUUAAAAUUGAGCUUGAAAACUGAAGAGUGCGUAGGUCUUAAGUUACAAAUUGAUAAAACCAUCAAAAUGUCCUGAAAUAUGAAGAUUGCAAUAUUUUUGUUAUGCAUUGUAAUUUUUCUCCUUAUGUAAUGUUAACUCUUUCCUUUAAUCA